ACUCAAAGGAAUUGACGGGGGCCCGCACAAGCGGUGGAACAUGUGGUUCAAUUCGACGCAACGCGAAGAACCUUACCUGGGCUUGAACCGCACAGGACCAUUCCUAGAAAUAGGGACUUCCCGCAAGGGACCUGUGUAGAGGUGCUGCAUGGCUGUCGUCAGCUCGUGCCGUGAGGUGUUGGGUUAAGUCCCGCAACGAGCGCAACCCUUACUCGUAGUUGCCACCCGCAAGGGGGAACUCUACGAGGACUGCUCCGGAUAACGGAGAGGAAGGUGGGGAUGAGGUCAAGUCAGCAUGGCCUUUAUGUCCAGGGCUACACACGUGUUACAAUGCAUGCCACAAAGCGUCGCGAACUCGUGAGAGGGAGCUAAUCGCAAAAAAGCAUGCUCAGUUCGGAUUGCAGUCUGCAACUCGACUGCAUGAAGCCGGAAUCGCUAGUAAUGGCGCAUCAGAACGGCGCCGUGAAUACGUUCCCGGGCCUUGUACACACCGCCCGU
rnacentral:rRNA from 1 species